AGAGUUUGAUCCUGGCUCAGGACGAACGCUGGCGGCGUGCUUAACACAUGCAAGUCGAACGAUGAAGCCCUUCGGGGUGGAUUAGUGGCGAACGGGUGAGUAACACGUGGGCAAUCUGCCCUUCACUCUGGGACAAGCCCUGGAAACGGGGUCUAAUACCGGAUGACACUCUGUCCCGCAUGGGACGGGGUUAAAAGCUCCGGCGGUGAAGGAUGAGCCCGCGGCCUAUCAGCUUGUUGGUGGGGUGAUGGCCUACCAAGGCGACGACGGGUAGCCGGCCUGAGAGGGCGACCGGCCACACUGGGACUGAGACACGGCCCAGACUCCUACGGGAGGCAGCAGUGGGGAAUAUUGCACAAUGGGCGAAAGCCUGAUGCAGCGACGCCGCGUGAGGGAUGACGGCCUUCGGGUUGUAAACCUCUUUCAGCAGGGAAGAAGCGAGAGUGACGGUACCUGCAGAAGAAGCGCCGGCUAACUACGUGCCAGCAGCCGCGGUAAUACGUAGGGCGCAAGCGUUGUCCGGAAUUAUUGGGCGUAAAGAGCUCGUAGGCGGCUUGUUGCGUCGGUUGUGAAAGCCCGGGGCUUAACCCCGGGUCUGCAGUCGAUACGGGCAGGCUAGAGUGUGGUAGGGGAGAUCGGAAUUCCUGGUGUAGCGGUGAAAUGCGCAGAUAUCAGGAGGAACACCGGUGGCGAAGGCGGAUCUCUGGGCCAUUACUGACGCUGAGGAGCGAAAGCGUGGGGAGCGAACAGGAUUAGAUACCCUGGUAGUCCACGCCGUAAACGUUGGGAACUAGGUGUUGGCGACAUUCCACGUCGUCGGUGCCGCAGCUAACGCAUUAAGUUCCCCGCCUGGGGAGUACGGCCGCAAGGCUAAAACUCAAAGGAAUUGACGG
rnacentral:rRNA from 1 species